GAACGUCUGGCGGCAGGCUUAACACAUGCAAGUCGAACGGUAACAGGGAAUAGCUUGCUAUUUUGCUGACGAGUGGCGGACGGGUGAGUAAUGCUUGGGAAUAUGCCAAAACGUGGGGGACAACAGUUGGAAACGACUGCUAAUACCGCAUAAUGUCUUCGGACCAAAGCAGGGGACCUUAGGGCCUUGCGCGUUUUGAUUAGCCCAAGUGGGAUUAGCUAGUUGGUAAGGUAAUGGCUUACCAAGGCGACGAUCCCUAGCUGGUCUUAGAGGAUGACCAGCCACACUGGAACUGAGACACGGUCCAGACUCCUACGGGAGGCAGCAGUGGGGAAUAUUGCACAAUGGGGGAAACCCUGAUGCAGCCAUGCCGCGUGUGUGAAGAAGGCUUUCGGGUUGUAAAGCACUUUCAGUAGGGAGGAAAGGGUGCUGGUUAAUAACCAGUAUCUGUGACGUUACCUACAGAAGAAGCACCGGCUAACUCCGUGCCAGCAGCCGCGGUAAUACGGAGGGUGCGAGCGUUAAUCGGAAUUACUGGGCGUAAAGCGCGCGUAGGUGGUUAAUUAAGUCAGAUGUGAAAGCCCAGGGCUCAACCUUGGAACUGCAUUUGAAACUGGUUAACUAGAGUUUUGUAGAGGGUGGUAGAAUUUCAGGUGUAGCGGUGAAAUGCGUAGAGAUCUGAAGGAAUACCAGUGGCGAAGGCGGCCACCUGGACAGAGACUGACACUGAGGCGCGAAGGCGUGGGGAGCAAACGGGAUUAGAUACCCCGGUAGUCCACGCAGUAAACGAUGUCUAUUAGAAGUUUGUGGCUAUAUGCCGUGGGUUUCAAAGCUAACGCAUUAAAUAGAC
rnacentral:rRNA from 1 species